AGUGAACGCUGGCGGUAGGCCUAACACAUGCAAGUCGAGCGGCAGCACAGGAGAGCUUGCUCUCUGGGUGGCGAGUGGCGGACGGGUGAGGAAUACAUCGGAAUCUACUCUGUCGUGGGGGAUAACGUAGGGAAACUUACGCUAAUACCGCAUACGACCUACGGGGGAAAGCAGGGGACCUUCGGGCCUUGCGCGAUUGAAUGAGCCGAUGUCGGAGUAGCUAGUUGGCGGGGUAAAGGCCCACCAAGGCGACGAUCCGUAGCUGGUCUGAGAGGAUGAUCAGCCACACUGGAACUGAGACACGGUCCAGACUCCUACGGGAGGCAGCAGUGGGGAAUAUUGGACAAUGGGCGCAAGCCUGAUCCAGCCAUACCGCGUGGGUGAAGAAGGCCUUCGGGUUGUAAAGCCCUUUUGUUGGGAAAGAAAUCCAGCUGGCUAAUACCCGGUUGGGAUGACGGUACCCAAAGAAUAAGCACCGGCUAACUUCGUGCCAGCAGCCGCAGUAA
rnacentral:rRNA from 1 species